GUAGCGGCGAGCGAAACGGGAAAAGCCCAAACCAAGAUGCUUGCAUCUUGGGGUUGUAGGACUCCAAUAUGGUAGUCUUUUCAGAUAGUCGAACAACUUGGAAAAGUUGGCCAGAGUGGGUAAAAGCCCCGUAGGCGAAAUGUGAAAAGCACCUAGGAGGAUCCUGAGUACGGCGGAACACGAGGAAUUCCGUCGGAAUCCGGGAGGACCAUCUCCCAAGGCUAAAUACUCCCUAGUGACCGAUAGUGAACCAGUACCGUGAGGGAAAGGCGAAAAGCACCCCGGAAGGGGAGUGAAAGAGAACCUGAAACCAUGUGCCUACAGCAAGUUAGAGCCCGUUAAUGGGUGAUAGCGUGCCUUUUGUAGAAUGAACCGGCGAGUUACGAUUGCAUGCGAGGUUAAGUUGAAGAGACGGAGCCGCAGCGAAAGCGAGUCUGAAUAGGGCGAAUGAGUAUGUAGUCGUAGACCCGAAACCAUGUGAUCUACCCAUGUCCAGGUUGAAGGUGCGGUAAAACGCACUGGAGGACCGAACCCACGUACGUUGAAAAGUGCGGGGAUGAGGUGUGGGUAGCGGAGAAAUUCCAAACGAACUUGGAGAUAGC
rnacentral:rRNA from 1 species